rnacentral:lncRNA from 1 species
GAGGUUGCCCGAGACCAUUGGGAGCUUAUCCCAGCUUAAUAUUUUUGACAUUUCCGACUGCCUGAGCAUCAUCAACAUGCCGGUCCAGAUUGGGGAACUGCACAAUCUAAGGAAGCUCUAUAUGAGAGGGUGCUCUAGUUGUAACCUACCUCCAACAAUCACAAAGCUUCAACGUUUGAAGGAUGUCAUAUGCGAUGAGGAGACUGCCUAUCAAUGGGAUUGUUUCAAAUCCUAUCUCAGCAAUCUAAGGGUAACAGUUCAUGAAGAAGACAUCAACUUGAACUGGCUCCGGACUUGUUUUUAAGAUUCCUCUCUUCUCAUGUGGUGCUGGAGCCUCCUUUCUUUUCAUAUACGUUAGUCUCCUUUACGUAUUUAUCACCACUCAUUGAAAUUUAGUGGUUAGGUUGGAAGACACUCCAACCAAACAAAUUUAUUUUUAUUAUUAAAAAAAAAUUGAUUGUAGAACAUAAUUAAAAAGAAAACCCCUUUCGACAACUUAGCCAGAAAAUGAACAAUAAUUUGGAAUACUAAAUGAGUUUCAAUAUGGACAAUUAAUUUUUUUUCUUACUCUAAACCUGUGGUAGUUACAUAAUACUACCAAGAAACCAACUCUACAUAAAAACUUGAAAGGUACGUGUUACACAAAGUAAAACACUCCAUAGCAGCAGAAGCAGCUAUCGCGCUAGACACAGUAAAUUUAUUCAACUUAGAAACCAUGCUCAUUUCCUUCAUUCUGUACAGCUCCAAAGCUUCUUUAGGCCUAUCGAAACGAACAUAACCCGAAAUCAUCGCGGUCCACGAGAAAUUAUCUCUUUCAGGCAUUUCAUCAAACAACUUAUUUGCUUCUUUAAGCAUUCCCAUUUUAGCAUACCCAGACAUCAAAGUGUUCCAAGAACACAAAUCCCUGUCACUCAUUUCAUCGAAAACAUUCUGGGCAUCUGCCAAACUCCCGCACUCGGCGUACAUAUAAAAGGCGGUUAUAAAUAACUACGCCGGCUGAAAACCCAGAAAUUUUUUUAUGUUGGUGAACUGAUUUGCCCUCGUUAAGAGCUCUGUUUUGGCAGCAAAGCUGGAUAAGAGCGGAGUAGAGAGAAGCUGGGGGUUUCUCGAUUUGAUUGAGGAUUUGAAUAGCUUCUUUUAAGAGUUUCUGGUUCCAUAAAUUAUGUAAUUGGUUUAUUAGAUUGUCUUUGGUGUUUGGUUUGAAAAAUGUUUUCUGAGGGAAAUGUUUAUGAAUUUAGGUUUGGGAAGAAAACCAAGAAGAGAAUAUUGCUCUGUUUUUGUGAAACAAAGAUAAAGAAUUGGAAAUUCUGGAAUUUAUUGAUUUCAUUGUUUUAAGAAAUUUUCGUGUAAAAUGUGGUUUCCGCUAUGGUGAUGAUUUUCUACUUUUAGUGUGAAAUUUGAAAUCAAGACUUUUAUAGAGAGAUGGAAGCCUGAUUCAAGGUGAAUUUGGGCCAAAACACGAGCAACAAGCUCAAUGUUAAAACCCAAUCCAAAAGAUUGUUUACAUUAAUAUUAAUUAUAAAUACAUUUUAAUUUACAUUUAGUUAAAAUUUAUUUAUUAUUAUUUUUUUGGGUGCUGUUCUUUUCGUCCAUCACAUGUUGGGAGUUGGGACAUGGGAGUGGGAAAAGUAGUUUCAGUGUUUCACAGUAAAUCUUAAGACGCACGCCUAGGCUUUGUCCUUUUUCUGACUGUGACCAAGGCGUCGGAGACCUUAGCUAAACAACCAUUUUAAGAGCUCGUAAGAAGGGAGGCCAGCAUUAAUAGACUUUCGUCAACAUUAACUCGACUAUUUUCCACUCUUUAGGUCCCAUUAUAAUUAAAGUAAAGAUUCCCGUACCCGAAGGAAAUUUCCAGGGGGCAGGAGCUUCUUCAUUAAGGAAUAUGGGGAAUAUAUAUAUAUAUAUAAAAAAAAGCGGAUUCCUUUAUUUGGGGAAUUCUUGCCAAGUUCAGAUGAAAACAUUAAUAUUUCUUGAAUUUUGGUUCUUGGGGUUUCCACAAAGAUUUUUAUGGCAGCAGCUUUGGUCGGAGGAGCGGCCUUAGGGGCAGUUUUUGGAGAGCUGCUUAGAGCCGUUGUAGAAGCGAGGAAAACACUUGCCCAGUUCCGUGAUGCCUUGGCGGAACUGGAAUCCACGCUAUCAUCCAUACAGCCAACAAUCAAAGCCAUAGAAUCACUCAACAAACUUCAUGACAGGGAGCACGAAAUGAAACCGUUCAUGGAAAUCAUUUGUACAGGAGAGAAACUUGUCAGGCAGUGCUUCAAAGUCCAUAGGUGGAACUUCCCCAAGAAGACUUGUUAUACAUACAAACUUCGUGGAUUGAAGAAAAAGCUCGACAGCUUCUGUCUGAUUAAUAUGCAAAUACAGCUAUUAAGAGACAACAAAGAAACGUCUUAUAAAAUGGAACAACUUGCUGGGGAAGUGAGAAGAUUGAGUUCCAAAGGGGCGUCCGGUAGCGACAAUGGGACGUUUAGUGAGGUUGCAGUUGUGGGUUCAUGCGAACCUCCUAAGCCUCAAGGGGAAGUUGUUGGAUUCGAUGCGCCCUUGACCGAGCUAAAGAUGAAGCUUUUUAAAGAUGGGGUGUCGGUCAUUGUUGUGUCUGCUCAGGGUGGAUCCGGGAAGACAACCUUGGUUCAAGAGCUAUGUCGGGAUGAAGGAGUCAAAGGUAUCAUUUCCUGUGCUUAGCUUUGUUUAUGCUUGAUUUUUAGUUUCUGGUUCUUGACUGGUUUGAUUAUUAGAUGCACAUCUGUUGAUUUGGUUAUGUCACAAGUGGAAACCAGAGUGGAAUGGCUAGCUUAACUUGAAUAAAUUUUGGAAGUAGGAGAAAAUGUUUCUUCUGAAAAUUCAUUUGGAAUAGUUGUGAAUCCUUUGGAAGACGUUAUUUGUCAAAUCCAAUUGAAUUAAACACUUUGCCAUGUAAGACUUCGAGUGUAGAAUAACUAGAUAACUGUUCAAGCAUUUGGUAAAGAUAUUUUAUGAGUAAUUUUGAUUGUAGUUGGAAUGAUUUCCUUUGUGCGGUCCUUCAACUGGAAUUCUACUGAGGCAAGCGAUUGAGAAAUUUUGGAUUCUAUUUUACCAAAUUUUCAUGCAUUAAAAUCGGGGAAUAUGUUUGUCACUUGCAAAAUGCUAUAAAUUAUCUUUGAAACUUUGCCAGAUUUCUAAUGCGAUGUUUGAACAGGAAAAUUUAAAGAAAACAUCUUCUAUGUGACUGUUUCAAAGGCACCCAACCUGGAGGUCAUUUUGCAGAAAUUACUCCGGCUUAAGGAUUCUAGAAUGCCUGAAUUUCAGAAUGAGGAGGAUGCCCUGAACCACUUGGAACAAAACUUCAGGAAAAUGGCAACCAAUCCCAUAUUACUCAUCCUGGACGAUGUUUGGUCUGGAUCUGAAUCCCUUGUUGAGAAGUUAAAGUUUACAUUGCCAGAUUACAAGAUCUUGGUAACAUCAAGAUUUGCCUUUCCAAGAUUUGAUUUUACAUAUCGUCUGAAACCAUUAAAUGAUGAUGAUGCUAUGACUCUGUUUCGUCACUUUGCAUUCUCGAAAGAUGUGGAUCCUGACAUUUCAGAUGAUCUCGUGAAUAAGGUAUUUUUAUCAAUCUGAAGACUCGUUCUAACUUUCACCCCUUGUAUGAAACUUUGAACACUUUCAUACUUCACUGUUGAUUUGCCACUGUAAUUUAGAUUAAAGAUCGAAAGGUUCAAAUCUUUAUAUUUGUAUACCAAGGUCGGUUUAAUUAAAGUGUUUUCCUGAACCUCCAAAAAAUGACUUUGAUGUUGUGUAACGAAUUUUAGGUAAUGAAAAGCUGUAAGGGACUCCCACUGGCCCUUGACGUGGUUGGUAGAUCACUUCGUGGGCAACCUGUUACAAUCUGGCGACGUAGAGCAAAGCAGCGGUCUAAAGGAGAAUCCAUCUUUAAUUCUAGCAAUGAGCUGCUUACUUGUCUUCAAAGCAGUUUAGAUGCGUUGGAUAGUAAGGCAGGAAUAAGGGACUGCUACCUGGACCUAGGUUCGUUCCCUGAAGAUCACUGGAUUCCUGCUACUGCCCUCAUUGAUAUGUGGGUUGAGCAGUACAAACUUGAUGAAGAUGAUGAUGCCAUUUUCAACCUCCAUGAACUCUCUACCAGGAAUCUAGUUAAUCUUGUAGUCGUGAGGUAUGCUAGUCAGUUCUUACUUUCUAUCUACUGUAACUUUAGCAUCCAUGUCCUGCCAUUCUCAUUUUAUUCUCUUCAAUCUAUCCAUAUUAUAGGGUUUCUCCUGUUGUACCCUAUAAUUCCAUUAAUCUGAAUGUAAAUCAAGCAGGACAGAUCUUCAACCUUGCUUCCCUUAUCAGAUAGGCACUAAGUUAUUGUUUGUGGUACAUGUUUGAAUCUCUACCCAACAGAUUUCUUUUUGCUUAUUCACCAGGAAAGAUGCACGUGAAGCUGAUGGCUACUACAAAGAGCACUUUGUCACGCAACAUGAUCUUCUCAGAGAGCUGGCUAUCUAUCAGAGCAGCUUGGACCCCGUGGAAAAAAGAAAGAGGUUAAUUGUAGAGCUAAGCCGCAACAAUUUUCCCAAUUGGUGGUUGGAAGAAAAGCAGCAAACUCUUGGUGCCCGCCUUUUGUCUAUCUCCACAGGUUGUUAUCUCUACCUUCAGACACAUGCACACACAAUAAGAAAUUUAGUCCUUCUACCCUAAGUUCUCGUGCCAUUUUUUACCUCAUCACAGAUGAAACAUUCACAUUCAGCUGGGGCAACAUCCAAGCACCAGAAGUUGAGGUUGUAGUUCUCAAUUUUCGGACGAAGAACUACACCUUGCCUGUCUUCAUGGAGAAAAUGGAUAAAUUGAAGGUUUUGAUAGUCACGAAUAGCAGUUUUUACCCAGCUGAAUUAAGUAACUUUCUGCUUCUGUCUUCUUUAUCGAAUCUAAGGAGAAUUAGGUUAGAGAAGGUGUCAGUUCCUUCCCUCAGCAAGAGCUCUUUACACCUAAAGAAUUUGGAAAAAAUAUCCUUAUAUAUGUGUAAUAUCGGUCAGGCUUUUGGGAAUGGCACUAAGAAGAUGUCAGAUAUUUUUCCGAAUCUUUUGGAAAUUGACAUUGACUAUUGUGAUGAUCUGGUGGAACUGACUGAUGGGUUGUGUGAUCUUGUUCAUCUGAUGAAGCUCAGUAUCACUAACUGCCACAAGCUUUGUGCACUGCCUGAAGGCAUUGGAAAGCUGGUAAACUUAGAAGUGCUAAGGCUAGCAUCCUGUACCGAUCUUGUGAGGUUGCCCGAGACCAUUGGGAGCUUAUCCCAGCUUAAUAUUUUUGACAUUUCCGACUGCCUGAGCAUCAUCAACAUGCCGGUCCAGAUUGGGGAACUGCACAAUCUAAGGAAGCUCUAUAUGAGAGGGUGCUCUAGUUGUAACCUACCUCCAACAAUCACAAAGCUUCGACGUUUGAAGGAUGUCAUAUGCGAUGAGGAGACUGCCUAUCAAUGGGAUUGUUUCAAAUCCUAUCUCAGCAAUCUAAGGGUAACAGUUCAUGAAGAAGACAUCAACUUGAACUGGCUCCGGACUUGUUUUUAAGAUUCCUCUCUUCUCAUGUGGUGCUGGAGCCCCCUUUCUUUUCAUAUAUG